rnacentral:rRNA from 1 species
AAAAUGCGAUACUUGGUGUGAAUUGCAGAAUCCCGUGAACCAUCGAGUCUUUGAACGCAAGUUGCGCCCGAAUCCUUUUGGUCGAGGGCACGUCUGCCUGGGUGUCACGUACACAUGCCUCCCGCAAACCUUCCCCCUUUGUGGAUGAAGUGCCUUGCGGGAGCAGAUAAUGGUAUCCCGUGCUCUUUCCGCGCGGCUUGCCUAAAAAUGGAGAGCCGGUGAUGUAACGUCACGCCUAGUGGUGGUUAACGAGGCCUAAUGGCCAACCAGUUCGCGGCGUGACUAGUAUUCACCGAAAAUCUCCCGCGACACCUUGGACGUCCUCUGAUGGACGUGCUAUUGUCGCGACCCCAGGUCAGGCGGGACUACCCGCUGAAUUUAA